GUCUCGAGGACUUAAGACCAAAUAGUUUGAGAAGCAUUGGUUAUUCUCUCAGCUUUGAGCAGGCUAUUUAACUCAUAAAUUGGGAUUAUUUACUGUGCUUCCCAUGAAACAAUGAAAUUUUCAAGAAAGAAAAAAACUGAAAUCUUACAAAUGCUAUUCUACGUUCUACUUUAUGGUUUUUAAAGCUUCAUUUCUCAUAUACUCAUCUAAUGGAAAACUCUAUCUGCAGGCGUCUCGUGGACUGAUUAUUUGUCCACUAGAUUGGCCUAAACGUCCCUCAGAACUCUAUAUUUCUCACGUCCAUUCUUCCACAUUUAUUUGUUUGGGUUUCGGUAUUGAGAGAUUUUCCUGGGUGACUCUUUUUCCAUCCAAGAAAAUUAGAUUGUGUCUAGGUCUUGAAUGUUUCUUGGAAAAAAUUUUUGAAUGGAUCCAGUGCCCGUGAUAUUGGACAUAAGCUCCAACAAAGAAAUGGGUUUGGGCGAGCCCUGGGGUAGUGGCGACGGCGGCUUGGAUUGGUUAUCUAAGUUUUUUGGUUGCACUAAUGACAAACAACCAGAAGAUGAUUCCGAUGAUGUAGUGGUGGUGAGGGAGGUAAUCAACGCCAAGCGAAAGUUAAAGCCUUUGAAAUUGUCGUUGAGAGAUGCAGACGAUGAUUGCGGGGUGACCCAGAUGACCCGAUCGCAGUGGUGGACGCCGAGACUGUCGGGUCGAACGAAUUGCUUAUAGUUGGAGGGUAGGGGCAGGUGAGUAUUUAGUUGUUGAAGACGAUCCCUCUCGUUUUCGCCCCAGUAUGAAGUUGCUUUGGUUUUCUGAGAUGAGAGUGAAUGAACUUGUUCUUCAAGGUAUAAAUCUUCAACAGGUUAUUGCUGCCUUUGGAUGCUUAAUGGACCGAACAUCUGCAUUUGCAUUGAGAAAGGAGGCCAAUCUCAAACAUCUGCAUUAGUUGAGCUGACUUUCCAGUUGAAAAUAUAUGACCAGUUUUGAAGAGCGUCAUUUUAGCAAUGAAGCAUACCCCUCUACUAUUAUAUUAGCCGAACCCAUGUUCUUUGCCUAGGACUAUGCCUGAAUCCAGACCGCCGGAGGAUAUUUCUCAGUUCAAUGUAAGACUGUUCAUCUAAGUAACCAUGGAUUGCGGGUAUCAUUUUCACCUCAUAUACCCGUACUCGUCUCUGGAUAUAUAAGCAGAUGGAUAAUUUGGUUAUCGAUCCUUAUAAACCACCUUUGGAACCUAAUUAUGGUUCGAAACAAACCGAGAAAAAAGUAGUCUAUGUUAAUUUAUUGUAUUGCAAUCAAUUGAGUAAUGUUACAUACAAUCUUGAAGCGUGUAAGUUUUUCACACUUAAUUUUUAUAUAUAUCUUAGAUUUAUCAA